UACGGAGGGGGCUAGCGUUGUUCGGAAUUACUGGGCGUAAAGCGCGCGUAGGCGGACCUGCAAGUCGGGGGUGAAAGCCCGAGGCUCAACCUCGGAACUGCCUUCGAUACUGCGGGUCUCGAGUCCGGGAGAGGUGAGUGGAAUUCCUAGUGUAGAGGUGAAAUUCGUAGAUAUUAGGAAGAACACCAGUGGCGAAGGCGGCUCACUGGCCCCGGUACUGGACGCUG
rnacentral:rRNA from 1 species